UCUCGAUAGAGUAAAAGUUAACUCAAAUUUGUAUGGAGUUGAAACGUUUGCCUACGUUCGCCGCUAGGGGCGCUGUUCCAACUGCAUACAAAUUGGAGUUAACUUUUACGCUAUCGA
rnacentral:pre_miRNA from 9 species